rnacentral:rRNA from 1 species
UGGGGAAUAUUGCACAAUGGAGGGAACUCUGAUGCAGCGACGCUGCGUGAGUGAUGAAGGAAUUCGUUUCGUAAAACUCUGCUCUAUGGGAAGAAAAGGACUGUACUAUAGGAGAAAGCUCCGGCUAAAUACGUGCCAGCAGCCGCGGUAAUACGUAUGGAGCGAGCGUUGUCCGGAAUUAUUGGGCGUAAAGGGUGCGCAGGCGGCUUUACAAGUUGGAUGUGAAAUAUUGUGGCUCAACCACAAACGUGCAUCCAAAACUGCAAAGCUUGAGUUAAGGAGAGGUAAGUAGAAUUCCUGGUGUAGCGGUGGAAUGCGUAGAUAUCAGGAGGAAUACCGGUGGCGAAGGCGACUUACUGGACUUAAACUGACGCUCAGGCACGAAAGCGUGGGGAGCAAACAGG